AAAACAACUUCAGCCGCCUACUUUGUGGAUUAUUUACAAUAAUAGGUGAUACCUAUGACGAAAUAAAAACAAACAACGAACAAACAAAAUGGACGCGAUGCAUUCUCCAUAGUUUACACUGAAAAAAUAUGUAAGUGCAAAUGAGGAUAUACAAUAUUCUGUUGGGAAAGAAAAGGAGCGUAAUAUUUGACAAACAUGGAGAAAUCGCGGUUAAUCUUUUGCAACUAUUUUUCAGGUAAGCA
rnacentral:lncRNA from 1 species